rnacentral:lncRNA from 1 species
GGGAGCGAGAGGCAUGAGCGAGAGAGAGAGAGAUGUGCUUCUGAUUGGAUUGGAGGCAGUGCUGAAGAGGCACUGAGACACAACGAGAGAGUGAGAGAGAACGAGAGGGCACGAAUGCAGUUUACACAUUAGCCCAGCUGCCAGAAAUUACAGCAAGCUCAAUUUUGCCGGACUGGAACAGGGGGGGCGUGAAACGGGAGGAUGGCAAGGAUGCAGAAAAUGAAGAGAACCCACCAUUGCAUUCUCUUGGGAAAUGAUCUGUGGUGAAUAAACAGUAACCGCAGAAGAGGCAGAGAGAGAGAGAGAGGGAGAACGGGGGAAAAGAGGAGGAGGGGAGAGCCUAGCAUCCUCUGAGCACAAUAGACUUAGAGUGUCGCAAGUGAAGAAAAAAAAGAGCCAUGGGCUGUUUCCUGCUUCGUAAAGACCCAUUUCUCCACCCUUGACGCGUCUUACCGCUCCUGGCUGCUGACAGCAAGUUCUUCCUCCAUACAUCCCCAGAUGCUCUCAGAAUGCACCUACUUUCCUGCCAGCAAAAGAAUGGUGACAGGAGCGCAGAGACUUGAGGAUAUCUGGCGUUAAAAAUCAGCUGAGGAAGUAGGACCAAAAAGAAAGAACAAAUCCUUGAUUGGGAUUUUUUUUUAUAUUGAAAUCACUUGACGUUUACUAUUCUGAAACCAUCCAGCGUUUUAAGUUGGGACGGAACCCUGAGGGGCCAAAGGAAUAAGUGUCAUCCAAUCACACGAAGAUCCUUUGAUUUCAUUUCGCACAGAGAGGAUCCUAA